GCCCAGGUGGUGGAAUUGGUAGACACGCAGGACUUAAAAUCCUGUGGCCAGAAAUGGCCGUGCGGGUUCAAGUCCCGCCCCGGGUACCA
rnacentral:tRNA from 1 species